GAGGGUAUAGCUCAGUGGUAGAAUGAGUGCUUAGCAUGCAUUGAGGUCCCGGGUUUAAUCCCCAGUACCUCCA
rnacentral:tRNA from 1 species